GACAGAGGGGGCAAGCGUUGCUCGGAAUCACUGGGCGUAAAGGGCGCGUAGGCGGGAUGGCAAGUCGGUCGUGAAAUCUCUCGGCUCAACCGAGAAACGUCGGCCGAUACUGCCGCUCUUGAGGGAUGCAGAGGAGACUGGAAUUCCCGGUGUAGCGGUGAAAUGUGUAGAGAUCGGGAGGAACACCGGUGGCGAAGGCGGGUCUCUGGGCAUUUCCUGACGCUGACACGCGAAAGCUAGGGGAGCGAACGGG
rnacentral:rRNA from 1 species